AUAGAGACACGUUGAUCGCUUCAUACGUAGACGCUACAUUUGAAAAACAUAGAACCACUUGGUACUUUACUAACUAACACGAACUCACACAUUAGCUGACAAAGGCGUUCAUACUGAAACAGGGCUCUGUCCUGGGUUCUUUCUUUGA